GUGUGUUUUGCACUUUAGGUGAAUUUUAGAGGUAAUUCGCACCAGGGGGAGAGGCGAGAACUCGCGCGCUUUUGCGGUCGAAAGUUCCCGCUCAUAUGCGGUACUGCUCACACAAGGGGCGUGAAGAAUUAUGAUCAUUGUCAUUUCCCCUGUUCAUCUUGGCUCGUUCUACGUUCUGUCCCCCUAGGCCUCUCGAUUGGGCAGGAGAAUCAGUUAUGCGAGGAUUCAGGAAGGAUUCAUAUUUGUGUAGAUGUAUGGAGCUGUAAGAAUUUCUGGAUUUUAUUAUUUCAUUUAUUAUAUAUAUUUACAUGGAAAACUUGCAAAAAACUAAAAGGUCCGAGCCCAAGCCCUCAGAUGAACUCGAAUGUACCAUAUAAAAAAGUCGCUUGUAUAGUUCUUGCGCUAACGCAUCUCAUUUUGCAGCCUGGAUCCUCAUUAACGAUCCUGCUUCGUUAAAAUACGUUGGGUAAUGUGCCACUGUUUGCUGCAUUAUUUUGUAUAACUUGCUCUCACCUUUUUUGCAGCAAUAGGUGCACAUCAUGGUGCUUUAUCAUUGGAACUUCAGUCAACAAGUUGACCUAAUUGAUGCAUUUUACCAAUUAAAAGCUUAAGAUUUGUUUUAGGUUUGUAUCAUUCAAUUUGUUAAUUUGUUCCGGGAACUUUGACCGAGCUUUCAUGUGUAAAGGUUUAUCUGUACUUUGAAAGAUCCUUUGAAGAGUUUUAGGACACUAAGAAGGAUUUCCAAAUGCUAGAGGCUCUACUAUUAGCCUGGCAGUUCAGUAGCCAGGAAGAUUGAUUGAGAUGGUAUUUGUGGCUGAUUACCUGCUUCCACAGAUGUCCCUCUGGAGUACCAUAGCACCACCACCACUUUCUCAUUAGAGCUAAGUUGGUUUUCCUGAGACUACAAUCCCUAGGCCCCCUUGGUGGCGAGAUAGGCAAAUUCUGUCCCAAGAAAUCAUAUGAAAUUUGUGCCUAUUUUUGUUGUCAACCCACAAAAAAUCAAGCAUGACUUGUUUGAGGAGAGAGGUAACAGAUACCGGCAUUUGCUAGAUGGGGACGUUAGAUAGGGUGGCCUUGAUUAAGGUGAUUCUAUGGCUCUACCUGCCGGGGAUAGAAAACGGCCCUUCCAAGUGGCGAAUUUUCUUUCAAACUUGCUGAUGAUAUGUGCCCCACUGAGGGGAAGUGGCGAAUUUUCUUUCGAACUUGCUGAUGAUAUGUGCCCACUGAGGGGAGGUGCACUGGUUGGCACCCCAUCUAUCUGCCAACUCCUGAAUGGAUUGUGGGUCUAUAUCCACCCCAAUCAUCUUGGAUUUUUACAUGUUUACUUUGAAUCCAGUGGCUCAUUCAAAGCGUUUGAGAAAGAGGAAAGGGGAGUCUACCUCUUGGGGAGAGGCUUCACGGAAGAGCAAAGUGUCAUAUUCGUACUGAAAGUGGGUAAUGGGAGGUCCUUAGGGUCCAAAGGAGAAGCUGUGUAGCAUGCCAGAUAAGAAGUAGCGACUAAUGGAGUGGCUUAAGACUUUAGCCACUAUCGGAAACAGGAAAGGGGAGAGAGGAUCCCCCUGGCCGAGACUCCUUGAGGCAGGGAACAAGCCUUUGGGGGACCUGUUAAUCAGGACAGAGAAGUGGGGAGUUGAUUUACAACCUUGGAUCCACUUCCUCCAUUGAUGGUCAAAACCCAUUCAGGCCAGGGUUUCAUCGAGGAUUGCCUGGUCUACGUGGUCAUAUGCCUUCUCCUAGUCAAGUUUAAUAACCAGACUAGACAUUUUCGAUAGAUGCCUGGAGUGAAUACAUUCGUGGGCUAUAAAGGCGCCGUCAAGUAUUUGACAAUCUUUUACAAAGGCACCUUGCUGAGGGGCAAUAACCGAGCCUAGGACCUCACGAAGGUGAUAGGCCAGCACCUUUGAUAGGAUUUGGUGCUUAACAAUAAUAAGAACACAAAUUUCUUUAUUUGCUAAUCAUUGUUCUUUUUGUUAUUUACUCAUAGAAUAUUAGUUGGAUUUCUUCUAUUGAAAUUUAGAGUACAUAACUUAGU